GACGAACGCUGGCGGCGUGCUUAACACAUGCAAGUCGAACGGUAAGGCCCUUCGGGGUACACGAGUGGCGAACGGGUGAGUAACACGUGGGUGAUCUGCCCUGCACUUCGGGAUAAGCCUGGGAAACUGGGUCUAAUACCGGAUAGGACUCCGGACUGCAUGGUCUGGGGUGGAAAGCUUUUGCGGUGUGGGAUGGGCCUGCGGCCUAUCAGCUUGUUGGUGGGGUGAUGGCCUACCAAGGCGACGACGGGUAGCCGGCCUGGGAGGGUGACCGGCCACACUGGGACUGAGAUACGGCCCAGACUCCUACGGGAGGCAGCAGUGGGGAAUAUUGCACAAUGGGCGCAAGCCUGAUGCAGCGACGCCGCGUGAGGGAUGACGGCCUUCGGGUUGUAAACCUUUUUCAGCACAGACGAAGCGCAAGUGACGGUAUGUGCAGAAGAAGGACCGGCCAACUACGUGCCAGCCGCCGCGGUAA
rnacentral:rRNA from 1 species